rnacentral:tRNA from 1 species
GGAAAGGUGGCAGAGCGGUUGAAUGCAUCGGUUUUGAAAACCGACGUCCCACAAGGACCGAGGGUUCGAAUCCCUCCCUUUCCG